CACCUUGAUUUUGGACUUCUAGCCUCCAGAACUGUGGGCAAAUCAAUUUCUAUUAUUUUAAACCAC
rnacentral:miRNA from 1 species